rnacentral:rRNA from 1 species
UACGAAGGGGGCUAGCGUUGCUCGGAAUUACUGGGCGUAAAGCGCACGUAGGCGGUCUUUUAAGUCGGGGGUGAAAUCCUGGAGCUCAACUCCAGAACUGCCUUCGAUACUGGAAGACUUGAGUCCGGGAGAGGGUGAGUGGAACUGCGAGUGUAGAGGUGAAAUUCGUAGAUAUUCGCAAGAACACCAGUGGCGAAGGCG